UACGUAGGGGGCAAGCGUUGUCCGGAUUUAUUGGGCGUAAAGAGCGUGUAGGCGGCCAGGUAGGUCAGCUGUGAAAACUCGAGGCUCAACCUCGAGACGUCGGUUGAAACCACCUGGCUAGAGUCCGGAAGAGGAGAGUGGAAUUCCUGGUGUAGCGGUGAAAUGCGCAGAUAUCAGGAAGAACACCGGUGGCGAAGGCGGGUCUCUGGGCCGUAACUGACGCUGAGGAGCGAAAGCGUGGGGAGCGAACAGG
rnacentral:rRNA from 1 species